rfam:Aedes albopictus isolate Foshan contig158560, whole genome shotgun sequence.
CAAACGGUUCUUUUUAGAACCAUCGAAAAUGCUUCCUAGAGAAUUA